GGGGGUGUGGCUCAGUGGUAGAGUGCUUGCCUGGCAUUUAUGAAGCCCUGGGUUCCAUCCCCAGCACUACAU
rfam:Rattus norvegicus chromosome 12, whole genome shotgun sequence.